AAGGGCGAACUACCAGAGAGUUUGGCUAUAGGAAAGGCCGAAUUAACCCUGAAAGGAAAUACUCUUGGCAGGAACGAGGGCCCGACCACCUACACACCGCCCUUCUCUAUUAUCUUCCCCUCUCCAGGGCCCCGGUUUGCGUGAAUACAGUCCCCCAACUACCACAAUUACACUGCUGAGUUUUCCACAUUUGAGGAAAUGGCAGGAGUCAGUGCAGUGGAAAAGUCUCAAUCUGGGGAAACUACCUUUGCGAUUAAGGAAUCACCCCAGAGAGAACUUUCUGUCAUCACUUUUAAAUGUCUAUGGGACACACAAACCAUAAAAAAAAAUGAUCAUCUACUAACAAGUACAUUUUCCCCCAUCCCCUGCAAAAAAAAGAAGAGAGGAAAGAGAAUUAUACACAUAGAAGAGAACACAGCUCAGUAUUUGCAGGAGUUAAUGAGUAGACUGUCACAGAGAAUUAGCAUCUAGAAAAGACAUCAGAGGCGGUAAUAUUAUUAUGUAUCAUGCUGGGUAUGGGAAAAAUACAAUAAAACAUUGUAAAACUAUAAAUAAAAAGAUUACGCUUACUUUUAAAAUGUUUUAGUGAUGUAUUUUGCCUAUACGUAGUAAUUUCUCACAUAACCUCCCCAUAAUGAACCCUUUCUCCCUAUCCUAUAGAAUAACCAUCCCUUUUGACACAAAGUAGCAAUUAAGCAAAAAAUACCGACAGAAAAAUCUACUAAAAAAAUAGAAAAAAAAAACAAACAAGGGCAGUCUGAGUUAUGCAUUUCAACAAUUAGUUAUGGAUAUAUUCAUACAAGAGAAGAUGAGAAUGACUGCCCUCAUCAAAGAUUUAGUCUUUGAAUUAAUGACACUUCCUAUAGCAGUAGAAAAAGAAUGCAUUGCUUAGCUCAAGAGAUACAAAACCUGACUUGAGUUAACAGACUCCCUGAAAACCAGAAUAAACUAAAUAGAACUUAAUGACUUUAUGAGAUAAUAAGGAAUAUUAAAACAAAGUCAAAAGAUUGAAAAAAUGGGGGGAGAGUAUAAUAACUUUACAUAAAACCCAACUUAUUUACUCAAAA